rnacentral:rRNA from 1 species
UACGAAGGGGGCUAGCGUUGCUCGGAAUCACUGGGCGUAAAGGGUGCGUAGGCGGGUCUUUAAGUCAGGGGUGAAAUCCUGGAGCUCAACUCCAGAACUGCCUUUGAUACUGAGGAUCUUGAGUUCGGGAGAGGUGAGUGGAACUGCGAGUGUAGAGGUGAAAUUCGUAGAUAUUCGCAAGAACACCGGUGGCGAAGGCGGGUCUCUGGGCCGAUACUGACGCUGAGGAGCGAAAGCGUGGGGAGCGAACAGG